AUUGAACGCUGGCGGCACGCCUUACACAUGCAAGUCGAACGAUAACAGGUCUUCGGAUGCUGACGAGUGGCGAACGGGUGAGUAAUACAUCGGAACGUGCCUAGUAGUGGGGGAUAACUACUCGAAAGAGUGGCUAAUACCGCAUGAGAUCUACGGAUGAAAGCAGGGGAUCGCAAGACCUUGUGCUACUAGAGCGGCCGAUGGCAGAUUAGGUAGUUGGUGGGAUAAAAGCUUACCAAGCCGACGAUCUGUAGCUGGUCUGAGAGGACGAUCAGCCACACUGGGACUGAGACACGGCCCAGACUCCUACGGGAGGCAGCAGUGGGGAAUUUUGGACAAUGGGCGAAAGCCUGAUCCAGCAAUGCCGCGUGCAGGAUGAAGGCCUUCGGGUUGUAAACUGCUUUUGUACGGAACGAAAAGCCCUGGGUUAAUACCCUGGGGUCAUGACGGUACCGUAAGAAUAAGCACCGGCUAACUACGUGCCAGCCGCCGCGGUAA
rnacentral:rRNA from 1 species